CAAGGCCUACAUUCUGAUCUCAACGUAAUAAAUAAUUCCUAUGAUAAAAAUAAAGAGAGAAGCCAAAGCCAGUAUUGAAUUUCACAAACAUACAGGCCUCCCUAAGCAGAAUCGAUAAGUU